rnacentral:tRNA from 1 species
GUCCUCGUGGUGCAACGGUAGCGUGUCUGAUUCCAGGUCAGAAGGUUGCGUGUUCAAACCAUGUUGAGAUCA